UCAACCUAAAAUAACUUACAGAUUCAAGUAAUGUAGAGCUGUGCCAAGCCCUGAAUUGUUCCCAGCUAUGUUUUGUUAACAAUGGUACAGCAAGGUGUGAUUGUCAAGUGGGGUUUGCACUUCAGGGAGAUAACAAAACAUGCACAAAUAUAGAUGAAUGCAGUCUUGCCAAGAAGCCCUGUAGUCAAAUUUGUACAGACACUUAUGGCAGAUUUACUUGUUCAUGUUAUGCUGGUUUUAAACUAGAAGCAGAUAGAACUUCUUGUACAGCUUGUGAGAAGUCCUUCUAUGGUGUCAACUGCAAUCAAUCCUGUCAGUGUAGUGGGCACGGGACAUGUGAUCCUGUCAGAGGCUGUGUAUGUGACAUAGGCUGGGAGGGAGUCAACUGCAACAAUGAUAUUGAUGAGUGUACACUAAGGACAGACAACUGUUUGAUUGGUGAUGUUUGUGUUCAUGCUUUGGGAAGCUAUUCCUGUGUUUGCUCUAUUGCAUAUGUUAGAAAUGGAACUUGUCAA
rnacentral:sRNA from 1 species